AUGCUCGCUUCGGCAGCAUGUAUACUAAAAUUGGAACAAUACAGAGAUUAGCAUGGCCCCUGCACAAGGAUGACAUGCAAAUUCAUGAAGCGUUCCAUAUUUUU
ensembl:snRNA U6 U6 spliceosomal RNA